CAGUCAAAAACACAAUCUCUGUAGAUCGUGAAAAGACUUUGAAUAGCUACUUAUUGUAGAUUACAGUCCAAUGUAAGUCGCUUUGAGAUAACGCAUCAACCAAACGCAUAAACAAAUGCAAACUUUCUCUCGUUGUCUAGCACCGAAGCGCUGUGACGUAUUGGAAUGUCGGUGGAAACAAGCUGAAAUUCAAAUAAUGCGAGUUUUAAAACAGCGCUUUAUUACGCCCUUUAAAUAAAGAUACAUUUCAAUAGACUUUCGCAUUUUAUUUUCAUACAUGAGUGUGUCUUUGUAACGCCCUGGAAAAAGCAGGGGAAAAUAACCCCGAUGCUUCUCGUUGAAAACUUUUACUCGUACGAGUAACUCUCGCGAUGUCACAACACUUCCUCAGCAGGCUCUGAGUCGCGUGAAGAAGUUCUCGCGAUACUCCCCGCAAAGGUAUAUUACCACACCCAAUCAAUUGCUCCCAGAAGAAUGGAUGCUUUCACUUGGCAAUCGCUGCCCAAUCAAACCGGCACCUACACUAUUAUUUCCCCCGACGCUCUCACACACACUCCCGAAAGAGCCACCUGUGUUACAUAAACUACUGAAUGGAAUGAAAUAUAUAUCAAACCAAACCAAAUAUAUUUCCAUUUGAACAGAACCGUUACCGUGGCAAACUUGGUCCAUUUUAGACCCAUACCAUGUAAAAUGAACAAGCCCCCAAAUACUAUUUGAUACUACACAGUAGAUGGCGAUAAUGCUCUAUUAAGAAAGCAAUCUUCCAAUCAGCUCAAAGUAGAAAGUUUUCUCAGCCGCUGGAUGUCGCUGUACGAGCAGGUCUGCGUGUGAAUAUCAGCCGAAGAAAAGACAACAAUGGCGGCGACCUGCUCGUGGAAGUUAGACAAAGAAACGGGGCAGGAUGCGCUUAUCGGUCACAGGUCUGCUAGACGAAGGCUACUGAUCCUGAUGUGGAGGGCUUGAGGUGGCCACUGUCUUCACAAUGAACCCAGUAGUUGGAAUCAGUUCACACAAAUCCAAAGCUUCCUGAUACAUACACACAUACAUACGGUACAGUAAUCGUGGUAGCAGACUUACCAUCAGUCAGCUGGAAACCAAAGGGCUCUGCAACAAAGUGUGGUUUGGGAUCAGCUGGCUCUGGAUUCGGCUCCGAGUUCUCUUGUAGAGGCACAAAUGGCUCAACUCUGGUC